AGAGUUUGAUCAUGGCUCAGGAUUAACGCUGGCGGUAUGCCUAACACAUGCAAGUCGAACGGAAUACUAAUUAAGAGAAUCUCACACUAGUGAGAGGUUCUCACGAGUAGUAUUUAGUGGCGGACGGGUGAGUAACACGUUGGAACCUGCCCCGAAGUGGGGAAUAACUGCUCGAAAGAGUAGCUAAUACCCCAUAGUAUCCGGUUUAUCCGGAUUAAAGAUUUAUCGCUUCGGGAGGGGCCUGCGUCUGAUUAGCUAGUUGGCGAGGUAAAAGCUCACCAAGGCGACGAUCAGUAGCUGGUUCGAGAGGAUGACCAGCCACACUGGGACUGAGAUACGGCCCAGACUCCUACGGGAGGCAGCAGUGAGGAAUCUUCCACAAUGGGCGCAGGCCUGAUGGAGCAAUACCGCGUGCAGGAAGACGCUUUUCGGAGUGUAAACUGCUUUUGUCGUCGAAGAUUAUGACUGUAGACGAAGAAUAAGGACCGGCUAACUACGUG
rnacentral:rRNA from 1 species